UACGGGGGGGGCAAGCGUUGUUCGGAAUUACUGGGCGUAAAGGGCUCGUAGGUGGCCAACUAAGUCAGACGUGAAAUCCCUCGGCUUAACCGGGGAACUGCGUCUGAUACUGGAUGGCUUGAGUUCGGGAGAGGGAUGCGGAAUUCCAGGUGUAGCGGUGAAAUGCGUAGAUAUCUGGAGGAACACCGGUGGCGAAGGCGGCAUCCUGGACCGACACUGACGCUGAGUAGCGAAAGCCAGGGGAGCAAACGGG
rnacentral:rRNA from 1 species